rnacentral:rRNA from 1 species
AGCGGCAAGAGCUCAAAUUUGAAUCCGGCCCCCCUGGGGGCCUGAGUUGUAAUUUGCAGAGGAUGCUUCGGGCGCGACCGCGGUCCAAGUCCCCUGGAACGGGGCGUCGUAGAGGGUGAGAAUCCCGUCUCCGGCCGGCCGGUCUCGCCCGUGUGAAGCUCCUUCGACGAGUCGAGUUGUUUGGGAAUGCAGCUCCAAAUGGGUGGUAAAUUUCAUCUAAAGCUAAAUACUGGUCGGAGACCGAUAGCGCACAAGUAGAGUGAUCGAAAGAUGAAAAGCACUUUGAAAAGAGAGUUAAACAGCAUGUGAAAUUGUUGAAAGGGAAGCGCUUGCGACCAGAGUCGGCCGCGGGGGUUCAGCGGGCAUUCGUUGCCCGUGCAAUCCCCCGCGGCCGGGCCAGCGUCGGUUUCGACGGCCGGUCAAAGGCCCCCGGAAUGUGUCGCCUCUCGGGGCGUCUUAUAGCCGGGGGUGCAAUGCGGCCAGUCGGGACCGAGGAACGCGCUCCGGCACGGACGCUGGCUUAAUGGUCGUCAGCGA